AUGAGAUUUGCUUUUCUUCUUCUUCCGUUCUGGGGGAUGUGUCACUCUGCAGGAGCACAUGUGUGUGUCUGCUUGGAUCACAGCAACAUUUUACUGCAGAAGAUGGAGGGCUUGCCACAGCCAUCUGGAAUAUUGCUGGCUCCAGUGCUUCCAGGGGAAAAACAUGGACAAAAUGGAUUUUCCUCUGCCUGAGCUUCAACAUAAAAGAUGAGUUUCCAAGGAGG
rnacentral:lncRNA from 1 species